GCUGGGUGCAGUGGGGUACGCCUGUAGUCUCAGCAGCUCGGGAGGCAGAGGCAGGAGGAUUGUGAGUUCAAAGCCAGCCUUGGCAACUUAGUGAGGCCCUCAGCAAGCUGGUGAGACCCUGUCUCUA
rnacentral:sRNA from 1 species